AUUGAACGCUGGCGGCAGGCCUAACACAUGCAAGUCGAACGGUAACAGGAAACAGCUUGCUGUUUCGCUGACGAGUGGCGGACGGGUGAGUAAUGUCUGGGAAACUGCCUGAUGGAGGGGGAUAACUACUGGAAACGGUAGCUAAUACCGCAUAACGUCGCAAGACCAAAGAGGGGGACCUUCGGGCCUCUUGCCAUCGGAUGUGCCCAGAUGGGAUUAGCUAGUAGGUGGGGUAACGGCUCACCUAGGCGACGAUCCCUAGCUGGUCUGAGAGGAUGACCAGCCACACUGGAACUGAGACACGGUCCAGACUCCUACGGGAGGCAGCAGUGGGGAAUAUUACACAAUGGGCGCAAGCCUGAUGCAGCCAUGCCGCGUGUAUGAAGAAGGCCUUCGGGUUGUAAAGUACUUUCAGCGGGGAGGAAGGGAGUAAAGUUAAUACCUUUGCUCAUUGACGUUACCCGCAGAAGAAGCACCGGCUAACUCCGUGCCA
rnacentral:rRNA from 1 species